AUGAAGUUGGGAUUCAGAUCCUACAUUCUACCUGUUAAUGUGGAAUGUAGAAAUGUAGAAUCCUUCCCUCUACACCCCACCGCUUCCGAAGAGUUAACACACCAUGUCGGCUUCACUACUGUGGCUUUAUGGGAAGUCUUUAAAUCAAUUAUUCACUCUCAGUUGUCUGGUUUUGGGGUACAUGAGCAGAGCAUGCAAGACAGUUGCGUAGGUACACACAUGGCAGUGUGCUUUGCUUUCCUUCUCCCCUUCACCCACAUUUGGCAUUUCUCCCCAGGCUAUCCCUCCCCCCCCCCCCCCCCCCCCUGCCCCCCCCCUUUUCCCCCCAAAAACCCCCCUGUUUAGUACUCCCCUUUCUGUGUCCAUGUGUUCUCAUUUUUCAUCACCCGCCUAUAAGUGAGAAUAUGUGGUGUUUCAUUUUCUGUUCUUGUGUCAGUUUGCUGAGGAUGAUGUUCUCCAGAUUCAUCCAUGUCCCUACAAACGACACAAACUCAUCAUUUCUGAUUGCUGCAUAAUAUUCCAUGGUGUAUAUGUGCCACAUUUUUCCAAUCCAUUCUAUUAUCAAUGGGCAUUUGGGUUGAUUCCAGGUCUUUGCUAUUGUAAACAGUGUUGCAAUAAUUGACUUUAAUGUUAGAUGGAUUUGUUAUAAAAUUCCAAUUCUCUGACCAGUAUUUACAUAGCAUCAGAUUAACUUUAUUAAAUUCCUUAAGCCUCAUAUUUCUCAUUAAUAAAAUAGAGAGAACCAUAUCA
rnacentral:lncRNA from 13 species